rnacentral:rRNA from 1 species
UACGUAGGCAGCGAGCGUUGUUCGGAGUUACUGGGCGUAAAGGGUGUGUAGGCGGUUGUUUAAGUUUGGUGUGAAAUCUCCCGGCUCAACUGGGAGGGUGCGCCGAAUACUGAAUGACUUGGAGUGCGGGAGAGGAAAGUGGAAUUCCUGGUGUAGCGGUGAAAUGCGUAGAUAUUGGGAGGAACACCAGUGGCGAAGGCGGCUCACUGGACCGGUACUGACGCUGAUGCGCGAAAGCGUGGGGAGCAAACGGG